rnacentral:rRNA from 1 species
UACGGGGGGGGCGAGCGUUGUUCGGAAUCACUGGGCGUAAAGGGCGCGUAGGCGGCCCGCACAAGUCUGCGGUGAAAACCCCCGGCUUAACCGGGGGCCGGCCGUGGAAACUGUCGGGCUAGAGGCCGGGAGAGGGCAGCGGAAUUCCCGGUGUAGCGGUGAAAUGCGUAGAGAUCGGGAGGAACACCGGUGGCGAAGGCGGUGAUCUGGGCCGGCACUGACGCUGAGGAGCGAAAGCGUGGGUAGCAAACAGG